rnacentral:rRNA from 1 species
GCAGGUCAGCAUACUGCCGUGAAUACGUUCCCGGGCCCUUGUACACACCGCCCGUCACGCCAUGAGAGUUGGGAAUACCCGAAGCCUGUGAGCUAACAUUAAGAGGCAGCAGUCGAAGGUAGAAUCAAUGAUUGGGGUGAAGUCGUAACAAGGUAAC